UACAUAUGUCCCAAGCAUUGCCCGGAAUUACUGGGUGUAAAGGGUUCGUAGGCGGCCUUGUAAGUUGGAUAUGAAAGACCGGAGCUCAACUCCGUGUUUGUAUUCAAAACUGCAAGGCUAGAAUUAGGGAGAGGUAAGCGGAAUUCUGAGUGUAGGGGUGCAAUCCGUAGAUACUCAGAGGAACACCAAAAGCGAAGGCAGCUUACUGGAACUAUAUUGACGCUGAGGAACGAAAGCGUGGGUAGCGAAAAGG
rnacentral:rRNA from 1 species